AGCGAACGCUGGCGGCAGGCCUAACACAUGCAAGUCGAACGAACCUUUCGGGGUUAGUGGCGGACGGGUGAGUAACACGUGGGAACGUGCCUUUAGGUUCGGAAUAACUCAGGGAAACUUGUGCUAAUACCGAAUGUGCCCUUCGGGGGAAAGAUUAAUCGCCGUUAGAGCGGCCCGCGUCUGAUUAGCUAGUUGGGUGAGGUAAUGGCUCACCAAGGCGACGAUCAGUAGCUGGUCUGAGAGGAUGAUCAGCCACAUUGGGACUGAGACACGGCCCAAACUCCUACGGGAGGCAGCAGUGGGGAAUCUUGCGCAAUGGGCGAAAGCCUGACGCAGCCAUGCCGCGUGAAUGAUGAAGGUCUUAGGAUUGUAAAAUUCUUUCACCGGGGACGAUAAUGACGGUACCCGGAGAAGAAGCCCCGGCUAACUUCGUG
rnacentral:rRNA from 1 species